rnacentral:piRNA from 1 species
UGAGGGUUCCAGUCUAAGGUGUUAUAA